UGCCCCUCUCCAGACUCACUCUCCUCAUCUAUAAAAUGGGAACAGUUCCUACCGGCUGGGCAAGCUGGUCGAUCCACUGAAAACCCUAAAAACAGAGCCUGGCACUUGUGAAAACAACGUUCUAAGGCGUAUUUUCUGACAAUUUGGGCGGAAUUCAAGAACCAAAUGGUGCUAGCAUUCCUGCGCUGUGCCCAGAUUAUGGGAUUCGUGUCACCUAGGGUUGGGCGAAAGGCACAGGCAAGUAACCAGAGUCACUGACUCACUAAUUUUACCAUUUUUAACUAUUUCAGAUUAGGGAGGAGCCUUUCGCCAAGUACUGAGCUACUCAGCAGCUUUGGUGGCUCCGA
rnacentral:lncRNA from 10 species